UAUUUAUUAAACAAUCCAAGUCCAGGUUACAAAGCCCAAACAGUAGGCCCAAAAUCAAAUACCUCAGACUCAUUACCCGUGUACCCGAUUACUACCCUGCAGGCCUAAAACUACCCAGCAGACCCAUUUACUACCCAGCAGGCUUAAAACUACCCAGCAGACCCAUUUACACCCUUGACCCAAACAGAAUACCAAUAAACCAAACCCAAAUAAAAAAUGGCCCAAAAGCCCAAGUGACUUUAGGGAAACAGGAAACCCUAGGGUUUCCUGAAGACUAUAGCGCCGCAUCAGCUUCUGGAAGCCUCGGGGAGCAUCUGUUCAACUCCCCAAAUCGAGGCCAUCAAUGCACACUGACGCACCAUCAAUGCGUUGUCCAGUAGCUUGUCCCUCUCACGACCGUCCAGCACCGUGAUCUCAGGCCUCAUCUCCGACCUUGGUACCUUCGUUGACGCCGAGAUCUCCGUAAAAGAGACUAUCUCGUGGUCAUCAGUGCACAAAUGGGUAUCUGCCGAGAUUCGAAUCCAUGACAGCAAGCCCAACCACCGAAAUAUUCGCGAGUCACCUACAAGAAAAGGAAACAAACAGCAAAUACACACAAAAAAAGCAGAGCAAGAAAAGGAAAGAAAUCAAAGCAAAAAAGACAGCAGAUAUACUAGAACAGGAAAUGGAAAGAAAUCCUCCGAUUUCUUUCCAAAAUAGGCAGUAGUUUAAGGCUAUAAAGCCUUUCGCAAAUCUGUAAAGAGAGAGGGGAUAGAUACACAGGAGUAGAGAGACAGAGAGAAAAACAUACAUAGAUAGAAACAGAGAGAAUACACAAAAGAGAUAGAGAGAAACACAUCACAAAAUCAUUGUACAUCAAACCUUUGCAAUAAUAUUUCAGAAGGUGAUUUUUUUUCCCUCAUACCUUUUUUUUAUUCUCUUUUACGAAUAUAUAAAUCAUUUUUUUAAAUAGUAACAAUUAAAAGGAAAAGGAUUUACCUGUGGAAGGACGAGGGUUUUAACCCUCAGACCACCGGAUGCGACGGCGCGUGAGGCGCGUGUGGUGAGUGUGCAGGUACUGCACCAUGGUCGAGAACCGAAGGCCAGACCAACCCCCAGUCUUCUUCAGAGGAUUUACAAACUUUUUUUUUU
rnacentral:lncRNA from 1 species